UCUAAACCCAGGAGCCUUAUCUUGGGAAAGUAAAUAUGGUGGCUGCAGGAAAUUUUUGAAAGUGAAAUGGGUGGCUGUGGGCGGCUGUCCCCUGUCCCAUGCUGGUGUCUUCAUCUCGAGGCUCUGAUUUAACUGAACUCCUCCAGGGCUGCUGUGGGCUUCCCGCCUGGCUUGUCGCCCUCGUCAUCUGGCUGUGACCGGAGACACUCUUGCAGUGCUUCCAAAAAGCAGAGCUGCGGAAGCAGGCUUUCCAGUCACUGGGUUUCUGCCGCUGGAGCCGGCCGGGCACCGCUCAGAGACCGAACAAGGCCCUCGGGUGAUGCCUUGCCCGGAAACCCCGGCUGCUGCCUGCUUGGGGCCAGGCACCUGGCCUGCCUUUACUCGCACCAUCUCAUCAAAGUCUCCCGACUCCCUGGAGAAGGGGAAGCCUUCGGAAGCAAGACGGAAAGGAGCCUCAGGCCCGGAAAAGCAAGGAAGAUGUCUCGGGCUUGGCUUCUUGUCCAGCGACAGCACCGGCUCGCCGUGGUAGGUAUUGGAUCCUGUUGCCAAAGCAAGCCGAUGGGCCGUGGAGCUUUCCCUGAGAUUCCACAGAAGGAUGGCAAGGCUGCAGGCUUUUCCCAGGAUGCUAAUUAAAACUGCAAGUCGACCAAUGCAGCAGCAUAAAUAAUUCAACUUGGAGGAGCACGGGGACCAGGGUUCACACGGCUGCUCAAAUCCCUCCAGAGCUCGCAGUCCUGGUUCACAGGCCCCAGAGAGGACAGCGUGCACCGGUGGGAGCUGCCCUGCCUCGCGGGGAACCCUGGAUGAGAGGCCUGCACGGCCGCCUUGGUCCUGGCAGCCCAUGGCACCUGGGCGUGGCCACUGAGCCCCAUCUGGGGGUGCUGCCCGGCCCGCCUAUAGCUGCCAAACGGGAGCUGAAUCUGGAGGAAGGAUGUCCCUCCCCCUGAUGGCGUUUCAAGCGCCCUCCAGUUUGGGGCUUGGCCUGGACUCAUGUAGGCCUUCUGGUUUCUGAUUCCCA